GGAAGGUAAUCACACAGGAGAGCAGCGAGGAGGUGGACCUGAGAUAAAAGACAAGGGUGCUGUUGACGUACCCUGGCACCGAGCUCGCUCUGAGGAUUUGACGUGUGCAAACAAGCAGCUGCAGUAUGGAGCCCAUCUCUCAGACCAUGGAGGCAGCAGAUGCUCAUCUGCAGAGGCGUGGGUGGAGGUUUGUGACCAAACGGGGAGCCUCAUCGCAGUUCGUGGGGAGCACCAUGAUGAUCAUGGCCACUUAUGCCGUCACCACCCUGACUAUGAACCUGGGGAAAAAAAUACAGGAACGAAGAUCGAGACCGAACGGCAACUAAAGAUGGCCUCAUCAGAGACCCGGACUCACUGCCUUCACCCUGUGAUGAUGUCGGCAGCAACGCCCGGAAGAGAUCAGAAAUGGUUGGGCUCAGCUUUGGUGCUUCAUUCAACUCAUCUCAACUUUCCUCUCUGAAGCUGGGAGGUGGCCUUUCACCUUAACCUGAGGUCAUUAUCAUAAAUGAGUGAUGACAAAUGGACGUGAAUACAUCACAUGCACUGCUGCCAUGUGACCACAGGGUGGAGAACUGGGACUACUUCAUGACAACGAGCCACCAGCCCACUAGAGGCUGAAUGUGUCUGACAGUUCAGACAUUAAAAAACAAAGACAGUGGCAUUUUCUCAACCCAUUAAAUGCAUUUAAAGAACGAUGAUUAGAGCUAUGUCGAUGUUCUGUGACUAACAAGUAGAACUCUGAUAAUUUGUUCUUGUAUUAUGAGUUUCUUUCUUGUUUUUUUAAAUCAUCAUAAAGUUGCCUUUUAAGUUUAAAACAAGCCUGUGUGACAGCAGACUGUAAAAACUGUAAAAUGUCAGGUCGCUCGAGUGUUUCUUGUGAGACAGAAAAUUAUUGUAAUGCUGUGCUGAAUCACUGACUUUAAAUAAAUGAUCAAAUAUAUUCCA